GACGAACGCUGGCGGCGUGCCUAAUACAUGCAAGUAGAACGCUGAAGGAGGAGCUUGCUUCUCUGGAUGAGUUGCGAACGGGUGAGUAACGCGUAGGUAACCUGCCUGGUAGCGGGGGAUAACUAUUGGAAACGAUAGCUAAUACCGCAUAAGAGUAGAUGUCGCAUGACAUUUGCUUAAAAGGUGCAAUUGCAUCACUACCAGAUGGACCUGCGUUGUAUUAGCUAGUUGGUGAGGUAACGGCUCACCAAGGCAACGAUACAUAGCCGACCGGAGAGGGGGGGUGGCCACACUGGGAGUGAGACACGGCCCAGAGGCCCACGGGAGGCAGCAGUAGGGAAUCGUCGGCAAUGGGCGGAAGUCUGACCGAGCAACGCCGCGUGAGUGAAGAAGGUUUUCGGAUCGUAAAGCUCUGUUGUAAGGGAAGAACGAGUGUGAGAGUGGAAAGUUCACACUGUGACGGUAACUGACCAGAAAGGAACGGCUAACUACGUG
rnacentral:rRNA from 1 species